rnacentral:rRNA from 1 species
UUGGAUGCGGGCGCAAGCCCAACUCUUAAUUCUUGAUCUCAAAUCAGGUAGGAUUACCCGCUGAACUUAAGCAUAUC